UUACGGCCAUAUCACGUUGAAACACCGGUUCCAGUACGAUCACCGAAGUUAAACAACGUCGAACCUGGUCAGUACGUAGAUGGGUGACCGCCUGGGAAUGCCAGGUGCUGUAA